rnacentral:rRNA from 1 species
CCUACGGGGGGCAGCAGUGAGGAAUAUUGGUCAAUGGGCGAGAGCCUGAACCAGCCAAGUCGCGUGAAGGAUGAAGGAUCUAUGGUUUGUAAACUUCUUUUAUAUGGGAAUAAAGUGAGGAACGUGUUCCUUUUUGUAUGUACCAUAUGAAUAAGCAUCGGCUAACUCCGUGCAAGCAGCCGCGGUAAUACGGAGGAUGCGAGCGUUAACCGGAUUUAUUGGGUUUAAAGGGUGCGUAGGUGGUUAAUUAAGUCAGCGGUGAAAGUUUGUGGCUCAACCAUAAAAUUGCCGUGGAAACUGGUUGACUAGAGUAUAGUAGAGGUAGGCGGAAUGCGUGGUGUAGCGGUGAAAUGCAUAGAUAUUACGCAGAACUCCGAUUGUGAAGGCAGCUUACUAAACUAUAACUGACACUGAAGCACGAAAGCGUGGGGAUCAAACAGGAUUAGAUACCCUAGUAGUC